rnacentral:sRNA from 1 species
GGCCUUUCGGGAGCUCACUGGCUUCGGGUUCCAUUGGAAUUCCGAAGUUAAGCGAGUUCUUGCGAGAGCAAUCCCAUGAUGGAUGACCCACUGUGAAGUUCUCGUGUGAGUUCCCAGAAACAAAACCGUGAGGGCGUGGUCGGGCCCCUAAGGGGGCGGGAUGUGACAAUUUGGUAUCAUAGCCAAUCAUUGGUCGGAAGUGUGCCGACGAGAACAUCGGGCCCUUAAGAGGAGUGGAUUGUAACAUCCCAUAUCGUCCAGGAGAGUGGAUCCUGUAAGCCUUAUAUGUAUAUUCUUAUCUCUACCUAACACGAGGCCUUUUGGGAGCUCACUGGCUUCGGGUUCCAUCGGAACUCCGAAGUUAAGCGAGUUCGCGCUAGAGCAAUCCCAUGAUGGGUGACCUACUAGGAAGUUCUCAUGUGACACAAA